rnacentral:rRNA from 1 species
AAGUCGAACGGAAAGGCCCUGCUUUUGUGGGGUGCUCGAGUGGCGAACGGGUGAGUAACACGUGAGUAACCUGCCCUUGACUUUGGGAUAACUUCAGGAAACUGGGGCUAAUACCGGAUAGGAGCUCCUGCUGCAUGGUGGGGGUUGGAAAGUUUCGGCGGUUGGGGAUGGACUCGCGGCUUAUCAGCUUGUUGGUGGGGUAGUGGCUUACCAAGGCUUUGACGGGUAGCCGGCCUGAGAGGGUGACCGGCCACAUUGGGACUGAGAUACGGCCCAGACUCCUACGGGAGGCAGCAGUGGGGAAUAUUGCACAAUGGGCGGAAGCCUGAUGCAGCAACGCCGCGUGCGGGAUGACGGCCUUCGGGUUGUAAACCGCUUUCGCCUGUGACGAAGCGUGAGUGACGGUAAUGGGUAAAGAAGCACCGGCUAACUACGUGCCAGCAGCCGCGGUGAUACGUAGGGUGCGAGCGUUGUCCGGAUUUAUUGGGCGUAAAGGGCUCGUAGGUGGUUGAUCGCGUCGGAAGUGUAAUCUUGGGGCUUAACCCUGAGCGUGCUUUCGAUACGGGUUGACUUGAGGAAGGUAGGGGAGAAUGGAAUUCCUGGUGGAGCGGUGGAAUGCGCAGAUAUCAGGAGGAACACCAGUGGCGAAGGCGGUUCUCUGGGCCUUUCCUGACGCUGAGGAGCGAAAGCGUG